rnacentral:lncRNA from 1 species
UGGUGCGAUCAUACCAGCAAUAAUACUAAGAUGAGUGUAAACAAUACUAAGAUUAUCAGAACUCUAAAUUUAAGCUUGCUUGGGUGUAAACAAUACUAAGAUGAGUGAUCUCCUGAAAAGUACUCAGGUUGCACCCCUCUUUUCUCAUUCUACAAAAAAAACCAAAAGAUUAUCAGUAGACGUUGCGUCAGGAAAAUGGGAGGAAACAUCAUAUGUUGGGCAUCCAAGUCCAAUAGAAAUUGAAGGGAGCGAGCCAUUAAUUGGAUUCGAUGUGCGUCUACGCGGAGCGCGCACAGGGAGACAGACCGGGCAGACAUAGCGGGUCCACGUUUGAUUCAACUCUCCACUGGUUAUAGAUGUUGGUCAAAAAUUGAACUCCACGGCACACAGCAUCUCACAUUUUCUGGCAGCGGCGUCCGCAGUGGGCAACAAAGCUAAGCUAUCUCCACCGUCCACACCCAAUCUUGGACCGUUUGAUCUAGCUGUCGGUUUCUUCCUUCUGGUAAAAAUAGAGAGAGCACAAAAAACGAACUAAUAUAAUAUAGCCCAAAAAGAAAAAAAGAAAAAAAGAAAAAACACGUUGAGCAUUUCAAAGACCAGUUUAUAUGGUACAUAGAGACGCGCCGCCAGCCACGAUUUUGUUAAAGACUCACUCCCUUCGUUUCCUUGAGAGUUUGGCGCCGGCAGCUUGCACCGGUCUAAAUCUAAACCAACCAGAGCAUCUGCCUCUGCCUCGCUCUCUCUCUCUCUCUCAAGGAACACCAUAGGACUAAAGCGCGGUCAAGGC